rnacentral:rRNA from 1 species
AGCGAACGCUGCGGCAUGCUUAACACAUGCAAGUCGCACGGCGGGGCAACUCCGUCAGUGGCGACGGGUGAGUAACGCGUAGGAAUCUAUCCUUGAAUGGGGGACAACCGUGGGAAACUACGGCUAAUACCGCAUGAUGCCUGAGGGCCAAAGACGAAAGUCGUUUGAGGAGGAGCCUGCGUCUGAUUAGGUAGUUGGUGGGUAAAGGCCUACAAGCCCUGCGAUCAGUAGCUGGUCUGAGAGGAUGAUCAGCCACAUUGGGACUGAGACACGGCCCAAACUCCUACGGGAGGCAGCAGUGGGGAAUAUUGGACAGUGGGCGCAAGCCUGAUCCAGCAAUGCCGCGUGGGUGAAGAAGGUCUUCGGAUUGUAAAGCCCUUUUGGCGGGGACGAUGAUGACGGUACCCGCAGAAUAAGCUCCGGCUAACUUCGUG